GACGAACGCUGGCGGCGUGCUUAACACAUGCAAGUCGAACGGAAAGGCCUCUUUCUGGGGGUACUCACGUGAGGGACGGGUGGGUAACACAUGAGUAGCCUGCCCUUCUCUUUGUGAUAGCUUCCUUAAAGUGAGGGUAAUACCUACUAGAAGCUCCUUUGACAUGUAGGGUUUUGGAGAGUUUCGCGGUUUGGGUGUGGACUCGCGGGUUAUCAGCGUGGUGGUGGGGAAGUGGGUUACCAAGGCUUUGACGGGUAGCCGGCCUGAGAGGGUGACAGGCCACAUUGGGACUGAGAGAAGGCCCAGACUGCGACGGGAGGGAGAAGUGGGGAAUAUUGCACAAGGGGUGGAAGCCUGAUGAAGAAAGGCUGUGGGCGGGAGGACGGUGUUAGGGUUGAAAAACGCUUUCGUUCAUGACGAAGCUUUGUGUGACGGUAGUGGGUAAAGAAGCACCGGCUAACUACGUG
rnacentral:rRNA from 1 species